rnacentral:tRNA from 1 species
GGUCCCGUAGCUUAAUUGGAUAGAGCAUCUGACUACGGAUCAGAAGGUUGAGGGUUCGACUCCUUCCGGGACCGCCA